rnacentral:lncRNA from 1 species
AAGGGGGGGUGUAUUCAAUCUAAAAUUUGAGGUGAUUUGAUUUCUAAUGAGGUUUUAGAUGAUUUUAAGGAAUUGCAGAGAAUAAAAUGAUUUUUGUUAAACCACUUUAGAAUAUCACAUAAAACUAUGGGAUUUGAGUUUAAUUUUUUUAACUAAGAAACUUCAACCAAACACUCUUAAAUUACCUGAAAACUUUAAAAUUCUACAACUUAAAAUAUUUUCAAUAACAGUGGAUUUCAGAGU